rnacentral:lncRNA from 1 species
AUGGUGAAAAUAAAAAACAAAAGGUUUGAUGAGAGUUGUAAAAGUGUAAGGGGGAGAUUUUAAAUUUUUCAGCGCCUCUUUGAUUUCUCCCCCAAAUUAAAGCGGUAGUCAAUUAUUCAAUCGCUCCAAAACCUAAUCCUCCUCAAUUGAACCAUCUACCAUCCUCUACUCGCGCAUCACUUCCGACGAUCUUUCGAUUCUAGUGCUCAGUUGCUCCAAAACCUAACCAUCCUCAAUCACUCCGAAACCCUAAUCGCCCCAAAUGUAGCAUCCGUUUGACUUUAACAACAUGAUAAUCAUUUGAUUCUAGAGAUUUUAGACUCAGAAUUGUGACAUUGCUUUGGAGGGAUAUAAAUGAGAUAAGGAGAAUGUAGGCAAAUGUGAAUUGAUAUCAUGGCACGUACUAUGGAUUGAGGUAGUGCUCAAGCUAGUGGUCGAGGUGUUGGACGGGCAAGAUGGUGGUCAAGCUGGUGAACGAGGUGUUGGGUGAGGUAGUAGUCAAGGUAGCGGUCUAGUCGGUGAUUGAGGGAUUUGGCGUAGUGGUUGAGGUCGAGUUUGUUCUUCCUCAACCAACUCGAUCCGUUAUCAAUUCUUUAAUUCUGGAGUUAAUUACCUAAUUAGUCCUUGUGGUUUAUAUGAAGUAAUAAUGUUAGGUACUAAGACCAUGUGUAGUGGUAAAACAAAAUAAUGCCCCC